ACAGCCAUAUCAUGUUGAAACACCAGUUCCAGUAUGAUCACUGAAGUUAAGCAAUGUCAAGCCUGGUCAGUACCUAGAUGGGUGACUUGCUUGGGAAUGCCAGGCGCUGUAAG